GAUGAAGAACGUAGCGAAAUGCGAUAAGUAGUGUGAAUUGCAGAAUUCAGUGAAUCAUCGAAUCUUUGAACGCACAUUGCGCCCUUUGGUAUUCCAAAGGGCAUGCCUGUUCGAGCGUCAUUUGUACCCUCAAGCUUUGCUUGGUGUUGGGCGUCUUGUCUCUAGCUUUGCUGGAGACUCGCCUUAAAGUAAUUGGCAGCCGGCCUACUGGUUUCGGAGCGCAGCACAAGUCGCACUCUCUAUCAGCAAAGGUCUAGCAUCCACUAAGCCUUUUUUUCAACUUUUGACCUCGGAUCAGGUAGGGAUACCCGCUGAACUUAAGCAUAUCAUAAGCGGAGGA
rnacentral:misc_RNA from 1 species